GAAAGAAGGGAAAAAAUUGCAUCUCUUUAGGGUUUUCAUCUCCUAAGGAAAAGUCCUGAAUCAGAAAACUCUUGCACCUCCUGCAUCCAUCCACUCUCCAUUAUUUUUUUUAAGUUCCUUCUUUAAGUUUCCUGUGAUACAUGAGAUCGGAAGUCAGAGCAAGGGCCCGACCUGACGCCCCAACCAGCACCCAGCAAAGAAGAGUCUCAGGCGCUCCUACAAUUUCACUUAAACAAUUAAGGAGCCAAUGGUCGGCUGCUCGAGCCAAAACAGUGAAAAGAGAAAGGAGGGAAAUAUCCCGGGACCCUCCAGGCGAGGGGGGCGGGAGAUGGUUCCUCAAACUGUUUUCUUUCCCCUCUCCUCCCUUCCCAGUGGGAAAGGUGCUCGCCUCCAGCGAGCGAUGGUGGAGCGGGCUGGGACAGGGGACUCCACGACGGCCUGGAAUGCGCCCUGGAAUCAGACCUCUAGGCUCUCCUCAAAAAGCCCCUUUGUCCGGUCCACCCUGCUCCCCUCCCCCACCGCGCCCUCCGCGUCCAGGCGGCCCGAGACUCGGCUCCUUUUGUCUGCCUUCCCGGAACCUGCCAGGGGAUCCACAGGCGUGGGGAAGGUCGGAGGAGAAAGGUCGAGGAGACGGAAACAUGCAUUUUCGAAACAUCUGGAAUAAUGUUUGACCAAACAGCUGGGUACCGUGGCCUAGCCAAGUUGACACAUAAACUUCACCAUCACACUACAGAAGACAGUCCGCCCGAGGACAAGCUGGGCAGACUCACGUUCCCGUCACUUUGGUGUGUAAGGAAACUGAGGCCCCGAGGAGCUCAAGCUGUGUUAAAAGCACACAGCCAGUAAGGGACUGAUGUGCUUUUGCGAGGUAGACCUUCCUGAUUCCAUAGCCCUAACCUGUGGCCGAAAAACUGCAGACACGCAAAGGGACCAGGCAGACACGGUGAAGGGAGGAAGCGUGUCAGGGCCGAGUGCUGGUCACCACAGCUCUUACCCGGCCUUGGUGUGUGUGGCAGGGGUGGGGCAACUGUGGAGGGCUUCCUGGAGGCAAAGUUCAAACACUCAGGCUCUGUCUCAAGGGGCCAUCGCUGCAAAUGCGGUCAUAAGAAAAAGGCGUCUGUUUCAAAGACAAAGCUGGAAAUCCACAUUUUCUCUGUGAAAUCAGAUGGCUACACCUUCGAUUUUCUUGUUAAAAAUUCCGAAGCGUCUGGGCUUCCCGGGUGGCGCAGUGGUUAAGAAUCCACCUGCCAAUACAGGGGACACGGGUUCGAUCCCUGGUCCGGGAAGGUCCCACAUGCCGCGGAGCAACUAAGCCUGUGCCACAGCUACUGAGCCUGCGCUCUAGAGCCCGCGAGCCACAACUACU